rnacentral:rRNA from 1 species
GACGAACGCUGGCUGCGUGCUUAACACAUGCAAGUCGAACGCUGAAGCCCCAGCUUGCUGGGGUGGAUGAGUGGCGAACGGGUGAGUAACACGUGAGUAACCUGCCCCUGACUUCGGGAUAAGCCCGGGAAACUGGGUCUAAUACCGGAUACGACUAUCGGACGCAUGUCUGGUGGUGGAAAGUUUUCUCGGUUGGGGAUGGGCUCGCGGCCUAUCAGUUUGUUGGUGAGGUAAUGGCUCACCAAGACGACGACGGGUAGCCGGCCUGAGAGGGCGACCGGCCACACUGGGACUGAGACACGGCCCAGACUCCUACGGGAGGCAGCAGUGGGGAAUAUUGCACAAUGGGGGAAACCCUGAUGCAGCGACGCAGCGUGCGGGAUGACGGCCUUCGGGUUGUAAACCGCUUUCAGCAGGGAAGAAGCCUUCGGGUGACGGUACCUGCAGAAGAAGUACCGGCUAACUACGUG